rnacentral:misc_RNA from 1 species
UUUCCGUAGGUGAACCUGCGGAAGGAUCAUUACCAAAUCCAAAUCUCAACCCCAUGUGAACUAUUGUAUAGUCUGUCUUUGGGAGAGAGACUCAUUAAAAUUAAUUUUUUCUUGUUUGUCUCUCCCAAUAGAGUCCGGCGCAACUUUAUUGAUGUGUCCAGAUUCGAAAACCCUUUAAACCACUUGAUUUUUUCUGUUGGAAUUUCUUUUAUUAAUUAUAAAUAAAAGACAACUUUUAACGGUGGAUCUCUUGGCUCGC